GAUGAAGAACGCAGCGAAAUGCGAUAAGUAAUGUGAAUUGCAGAAUUCAGUGAAUCAUCGAAUCUUUGAACGCACAUUGCGCCCGUCAGUAUUCUGGCGGGCAUGCCUGUUCGAGCGUCAUUUCAACCAUCAAGCCCCCGGCUUGUGUUGGGGACCUGCGGCUGCCGCAGGCCCUGAAAAGCAGUGGCGGGCUCGCUGUCACACCGAGCGUAGUAGCAUACAUCUCGCUCUGGGCGUGCUGCGGGUUCCGGCCGUUAAACCACCUUCAUAACCCAAGGUUGACCUCGGAUCAGGUAGGAAGACCCGCUGAACUUAAGCAUAUCAAUAAGCGGAGGA
rnacentral:misc_RNA from 1 species